GACGAACGCUGGCGGCGUGCUUAACACAUGCCAGUCGAACGGAAAGGCCCCUUUGGGGGUACUCGAGUGGCGAACGGGUGAGUAACACGUGAGUAACCUGCCCUUGACUUCGGGAUAACUUCAGGAAACUGGGGCUAAUACCGGAUAGGAAUCCUUGCUGCAUGGUGGGGGUUGGAAAGCUUCGGCGGUUUUGGAUGGACUCGCGGCUUAACAGCUUGUUGGUGGGGUAGUGGCUUACCAAGGCUUUGACGGGUAGCCGGCCUGAGAGGGCGACCGGCCACAUUGGGACUGAGAUACGGCCCAGACUCCUACGGGAGGCAGCAGUGGGGAAUAUUGCACAAUGGGCGGAAGCCUGAUGCAGCAACGCCGCGUGCGGGAUGACGGCCUUCGGGUUGUAAACCGCUUUCAGCAGGGGCGAAGCUUGUGGUGACGGUACCUGCAGAAGAAGCACCGGCUAACUACGUG
rnacentral:rRNA from 1 species